GUAAAUAUAGUUUAAUAAAAACACUAGAUUGUGAAUCUAAUAGCGGAAAGUAAAAACUGUUGUUUACU
rnacentral:tRNA from 1 species